CAAGAAAGACCAAUUGCAAUUUCCAUAUUUUCCAUGCAUAUCUAUUCUGCCUCGACACACUCAUUAUUUUUCGCGAAUUUUGGUAAUAUGGCGAAUCUUGAUGCAUACCAACUUUCAUUUUCAUUUAUCUUUGCUGUUGCUGAUGCUGUUGUUCAUUCAACUUGACUUCUUCUGAACCCUUCUUGUGCCUUUUAAGGAUGUCCCUAGAACAGUAAUACAAAAUUGUUGUAGUAGUCAUUGACACACGCUGUUUGCACCUUGAUCAUCAUUGUCGUUGGGGAAGAAGUCUCGAAACAAUAGUCCAAGUUAAAUAAAGUUAUUACGUAUGUAUUUUCGAGCAAUGUUGCCAACCACCACAGUUGCACUUUGUCUCAUUUUGUUUUUCUGGAGUGCUUCAGCAGAUGAACAACCACCCUCUGUUGUCCAUGUCGCGUCCAGUGACCCCCAUCUCAAGGGAUCUUUAGAAAUGGUUCCCGUUUCCUCUACCGUGAUCCCGAUCCAAAGUUUGUUUGGAACUCAAAGACCCUCAUCGUCGCAAUCCGAAACUACCGGAGUAGGAAGCGUAGGCCAAGCUACGUACCCAAUCUUUCGGCGCAAUGCUUACUCAAGGAGAUCAAACUUUUUCCACAAAUCAACCAAACCAGGCACACCUGUUCGACUUAUUACUACGAGAAGCAAUAGAGCUCGAGUUGAGGCGUAUGAUGGAUGACCUGGCGAGAAGGAAAAAAUGGCGACAAGAAAAAUGGGGAUAAAACUGUAUAAAAAGACACGAUUUAUUGUUAUACAUAGUUCGUUAUGCUAGGAUUAUUUAUUGUUCAUUCAAAAAAAUCAUCAGAUCUAAGAUAAUGGAACUGUUGUGACAGAAUUGUGACAUGUAGCACACUUUUUAGUUUCCUGGACUGAACGGUCCAUAAUAUUAAAACAAAAGGCAUAGAAAAGUUUA